rnacentral:rRNA from 1 species
UAGGGAAUCUUCCACAAUGGACGCAAGUCUGAUGGAGCAACGCCGCGUGAGUGAAGAAGGCUUUCGGGUCGUAAAACUCUGUUAUUGAAGAAGAACGUGUGUGACAGUAACUGGUCAUGCAGUGACGGUAUUCAAUCAGAAAGUCACGGCUAACUACGUGCCAGCAGCCGCGGUAAUACGUAGGUGGCAAGCGUUGUCCGGAUUUAUUGGGCGUAAAGCGAGUGCAGGCGGUCUUUUAAGUCUGAUGUGAAAGCCUUCGGCUUAACCGAAGAAGGGGC